rnacentral:rRNA from 1 species
CCUACGGGAGGCAGCAGUGGGGAAUUUUCCGCAAUGGGCGCAAGCCUGACGGAGUAAUACCGCGUGAGGGAAGAAGGCUCUUGGGUCGUAAACCUCUUUUGUUUGGGAAGAAACCUGACGGUACCAAACGAAUAAGCCUCGGCUAACUCCGUGCCAGCAGCCGCGGUAAGACCGGAGGAGGCAAGCGUUAUCCGGGAAUUAUUGGGCGUAAAGCGUCCGCAGGUGGUUUUACAAGUCUGUUGUUAAAGCGCGAGGCUCAACCUUGUAUAGGCAAUGGAAACUGUAAGACUAGAGUGCGGUAGGGUAGAGGGAAUUCCCGGUGUGGCGGUGAAAUGCGUAGAUAUCGGGAAGAACACCAGUGGCGAAGGCGCUCUACUGGGCCUGCACUGACACUGAGGGACGAAAGCUAGGGGAGCGAAAGGGAUUAGGAUACCCCCGUGUAGUCCUAGCCGUAAACGAUGGACACUAGGUGUUGCGCGUAAUCGACCCGUGCAGUGCCGUAGCUAACGCGUUAAGUGUCCCGCCUGGGGAGUACGCUCGCAGAGUGUAACGUUAAUAGUAUAGACGGCGUGAGACUAGACCGAACGGACGACGACGAGGGAGUAGG